UAUGUGGUAUGUAUGUGGAUGAUAAAUAGAGUUUUUUAUAUGAUUAUUAGGAGGCUUGUGCUGUAGCCACGUGCUUUGCAAUAGUCUGCUGCAGUUCUUCUUUCUUUGCUCCCACCACCUUGUCCACAAUCUUCCCCUCUUUCAGAAACAU